GAUGAACGCUGACAGAAUGCUUAACACAUGCAAGUCUUUGGCGAAGCUGUGCUUGCACAGCCUAGCCAAGGCGGACGGGUGAGUAACGCGUAAGGAACUUGCCCUGCAGUCAGGGAUAACAGACGGAAACGACUGAUAAGACCUGGUAAAGUCAGGCGGACUCAUGUCCAGCCUGAUGAAAAGAGAUGCUGCAGGAGAGCCUUGCGUCCUAUUAGCUUGUUGGUGGGGUAACGGCCCACCAAGGCGAUGAUAGGUAGCCGGCCUGAGAGGGUGGACGGCCACAAGGGGACUGAGAUGCGGCCCUUACUCCUACGGGAGGCAGCAGUGGGGAAUAUUGGACAAUGGGGGCAACCCUGAUCCAGCAAUUCUGUGUGCACGAUGAAGGUUUUCGGAGUGUAAAGUGCUUUCAGCAGGGAAGAAAAAAAUGACGGUACCUGCAGAAGAAGCGACGGCUAAAUACGUG
rnacentral:rRNA from 1 species